AUGCUUCACAUAUACUUUUUGCCUGAUGCAAAGAAAUAUCCAGCUGCACAGGAACGUUUUAUCCAUGAUGCCUGGAAGAUUUCUGAAAUGUUGUUGUGUUUGGGUGAUGAGAAGAUGUGGGAGGUGAUCGAAGGUGUGUGGGUGGAGAUACUCUGCUUCUCGGCCAGUAGGUGCCGAGGGUACCUACACGCCAAGAGUUUGGGCACCGGGCGGGAGCUGCUCACACAUAUCUGGCUCCUGCUGUCGCACAUGGGGAUGGAGACCCUGCCGGAAAGGGUACAGAGGAGGGACCUUUCUAGUGGAGGAAGAAACACCGGCGCCACUCCGCCGUCUUCCCAGAUCAGCACCUCCACUGUGGAGGACAUGGUUUGA
rnacentral:rRNA from 1 species